rnacentral:rRNA from 1 species
AGCGAACGCUGGCGGCAGGCCUAACACAUGCAAGUCGAACGGAUCCUUCGGGAUUAGUGGCGGACGGGUGAGUAACACGUGGGAACGUGCCCUUUGGUUCGGAACAACUCAGGGAAACUUGAGCUAAUACCGGGUGUGCCCUUCGGGGGAAAGAUUUAUCGCCAUUGGAGCGGCCCGCGUCUGAUUAGCUAGUUGGUGAGGUAAAGGCUCACCAAGGCGACGAUCAGUAGCUGGUCUGAGAGGAUGAUCAGCCACAUUGGGACCGAGACACGGCCCAAACUCCUACGGGAGGCAGCAGUGGGGAAUCUUGCGCAAUGGGCGAAAGCCUGACGCAGCCAUGCCGCGUGAAUGAUGAAGGUCUUAGGAUUGUAAAAUUCUUUCACCGGGGACGAUAUGACGGUACCCGGAGAAGAAGCCCCGGCUAACUUCGUGCCAGCCGCCGCCGUAA